rnacentral:rRNA from 1 species
UACGUAGGGUGCAAGCGUUGUCCGGAAUUAUUGGGCGUAAAGAGCUCGUAGGUGGCCUGUCGCGUCGGCUGUGAAAACUCGGGGCUCAACUCCGAGCUUGCAGUCGAUACGGGCAGGCUAGAGUUCGGCAGGGGAGACUGGAAUUCCUGGUGUAGCGGUGAAAUGCGCAGAUAUCAGGAGGAACACCGGUGGCGAAGGCGGGUCUCCGGGCCGAUACUGACACUGAGGAGCGAAAGCGUGGGGAGCGAACAGG